rnacentral:lncRNA from 1 species
UGUCUUGAAGGGAUGUCUGAAGACUUCAAGGGCCUCUCAGGGUUCUGGCACGUAGACACCGUGCUGCUGAGGGCAGGAGCUCUGUGGGGUUGAGACUCUUGUUUGCUAGGCAUGAAGAGACAGGGAGAGAAGUGGGAUGGAAAGAAGGCAUUCAGAACUCACAGGCAGCCCCAGCGAGGAGAAGUCAAAGCUCCGUGCCCCUUCCAGCACAAAAGCAAGUCCAUUGAACCGGUGGCUUUUUCUGUCAUCUAGCUCCUAAAAACAAAAACAAAGGUGAAUGAUUCCAAUUGUGACCAAGAACUUCUUUCCCUGCUCCUGGAUGCCAAGCUGCUGGUGAAGUGUGUCUCCACUCCCUUCUAUCCACGUAUUGUUGACCACCUCUUGGCUAGCCUCCAGCAAGGGCGCUGGGAUGCAGAGGAGCUGGGCAGACACCUGCGGGAGGCCGGCCAUGAAGCCGAAGCCGGGUCUCUCCUUCUGGCCGUGAGGGGGACUCACCAGGCCUUCAGAACCUUCAGUACAGCCCUCCGCGCAGCACAGCACUGGGUGUGAGGGCCACCUGUGGCCCUGCUCCUUAGCAGAAAAAGCAUCUGGAGUUGAAUGCUGUUCCCAGAAGCAACAUGUGUAUCUGCCGAUUGUUCUCCAUGGUUCCAACAAAUUGC